rnacentral:rRNA from 3 species
GACGAACGCUGGCGGCGUGCUUAACACAUGCAAGUCGAACGAUGAUGCCCAGCUUGCUGGGUGGAUUAGUGGCGAACGGGUGAGUAACACGUGAGUAACCUGCCCCUGACUCUGGGAUAAGCGUUGGAAACGACGUCUAAUACUGGAUAUGAUCACUGGCCGCAUGGUCUGGUGGUGGAAAGAUUUUUUGGUUGGGGAUGGACUCGCGGCCUAUCAGCUUGUUGGUGAGGUAAUGGCUCACCAAGGCGACGACGGGUAGCCGGCCUGAGAGGGUGACCGGCCACACUGGGACUGAGACACGGCCCAGACUCCUACGGGAGGCAGCAGUGGGGAAUAUUGCACAAUGGGCGAAAGCCUGAUGCAGCAACGCCGCGUGAGGGAUGACGGCCUUCGGGUUGUAAACCUCUUUUAGUAGGGAAGAAGCGAAAGUGACGGUACCUGCAGAAAAAGCACCGGCUAACUACGUGCCAGCAGCCGCGGUAAUACGUAGGGUGCAAGCGUUGUCCGGAAUUAUUGGGCGUAAAGAGCUCGUAGGCGGUUUGUCGCGUCUGCUGUGAAAUCCCGAGGCUCAACCUCGGGCUUGCAGUGGGUACGGGCAGACUAGAGUGCGGUAGGGGAGAUUGGAAUUCCUGGUGUAGCGGUGGAAUGCGCAGAUAUCAGGAGGAACACCGAUGGCGAAGGCAGAUCUCUGGGCCGUAACUGACGCUGAGGAGCGAAAGCAUGGGGAGCGAACAGGAUUAGAUACCCUGGUAGUCCAUGCCGUAAACGUUGGGCGCUAGAUGUAGGGACCUUUCCACGGUUUCUGUGUCGUAGCUAACGCAUUAAGCGCCCCGCCUGGGGAGUACGGCCGCAAGGCUAAAACUCAAAGGAAUUGACGGGGGCCCGCACAAGCGGCGGAGCAUGCGGAUUAAUUCGAUGCAACGCGAAGAACCUUACCAAGGCUUGACAUACACCGGAAACGGCCAGAGAUGGUCGCCCCCUUGUGGUCGGUGUACAGGUGGUGCAUGGUUGUCGUCAGCUCGUGUCGUGAGAUGUUGGGUUAAGUCCCGCAACGAGCGCAACCCUCGUUCUAUGUUGCCAGCGGGUUAUGCCGGGGACUCAUAGGAGACUGCCGGGGUCAACUCGGAGGAAGGUGGGGAUGACGUCAAAUCAUCAUGCCCCUUAUGUCUUGGGCUUCACGCAUGCUACAAUGGCCGGUACAAAGGGCUGCGAUACCGUAAGGUGGAGCGAAUCCCAAAAAGCCGGUCUCAGUUCGGAUUGAGGUCUGCAACUCGACCUCAUGAAGUCGGAGUCGCUAGUAAUCGCAGAUCAGCAACGCUGCGGUGAAUACGUUCCCGGGCCUUGUACACACCGCCCGUCAAGUCAUGAAAGUCGGUAACACCCGAAGCCGGUGGCCUAACCCUUGUGGAAGGAGCCGUCGAAGGUGGGAUCGGUGAUUAGGACU